rnacentral:RNase_P_RNA from 1 species
CGAGCCAGCCGGGCGGCCGCGUCGACGGGCCUCGCGAGGGGUCCGCCGCCGAGGAACGUCCGGGCUCCGCAGGGCAGGGUGGUGGGCAACACCCACCCGGGGUGACCCGCGGGAAAGUGCCACAGAGAACAGACCGCCACGCCGCCUCCGGUCCGCCGGAGGGGGCGGGGCAAGGGUGAAACGGUGGUGCAAGAGACCACCAGCGCCCCCGGUGACGGGGGUGGCUCGGCAAACCCCACCCGGAGCAAGGCCAGACAGGGAGCGUCCGAGGGCUGCCCGCCCGAGCUCCCGGGUAGGCCGCGACUGCGACCGGCCCCACGCGGGACGGGAGCGACGAGGACGGCGGCAACGCCGUCCCGAGAUGGAUGGCCGCCCCCUGCGACCGGCUCGCCGGACGCAGGGACAGGACCCGGCGUACAGGCUGGCUCGCCCG